AUGUUGGGGCAGAGCAUCUGGAAGUCUACCACCUCUGUGGUCCACAGGAGCCACUAUAAGGAGGGCCCAGGGAAGAAUUUGCCAUUUCCAGUGGAAAACAAGUGGAAGUUACUAAUUAUGAUGACUGUGUACUUUGGAUCUGGAUUUGCUGCACCCUUCUUUAUAGUAAGACACCAACUGCAUAAGAAAUAA